AGACGUGAUCCUGUUGCACUCGAUGAGAACAAUAAGGAUCUGAUCACCUACAUAGAUGCCAUGCAGAGAUCCGACUCUGAUUAAUGGCUUGGAGACAUAAAGUAUAAAAUGAAGUCCAUAAAGAUCAAUGGUGUAUGGAUAUUUGUUGAUUCACUCAAAGGGUAAAGCCCAUAGAGUGUAAGUGGAUCUUCAAUAGGAUCAGAGUAGCAC
rnacentral:lncRNA from 1 species